rnacentral:rRNA from 1 species
GGUUGAUCCUGCCAGUAGUCAUAUGCUUGUCUCAAAGAUUAAGCCAUGCAUGUGUAAGUAUAAGUAUUGUACAACGAAACUGCGAAUGGCUCAUUAAAACAGUUAUAGUUUAUUUGAUAAUCGAAAGUUACAUGGAUAACCGUGACAAAUUACAGCUAAUACAUGCACAAUAAGACCUCUAUGAGGUUGUAAUUAUUAGUAUUAAACCAAUUGCCUUGGCAAUGUGAUGAAUCAUAGUAAUCGAACGAAUCGCAGGAUUCUGCGAUAAAUCAUUCAAGUUUCUGCCCUAUCA